UGCCCGGAGAGAAAGGAGGGUACCAGGGCUUUCACGGAUGCUCUCGUCUCCGUGCAGAACUGAGCAUGCGCUUUGCCUGGAAAAAACACUGACGUACAACUCCUAGAUGUUUUGUCAUAUCUCAAGCCAGCCUUGAACGUUGCUUUUCCUAAAGGGGCUAUUGGAGCAAUUAAUACUGCGGUGCUUGUCGUGGAUCAAAGCCUAGUUAUCACAAACCAGAGCAAAUAGCUAAACAGCUUUACGACACACGCUCCCCAGUCAAGAUCAAUCUGGAUCUCUCGACCUUCUCGACCCACGCCGUUGCGGUGGGGUGAGAAGAGGUUGCCGUGGCCUUUCUGAAAUCCACAGAGGAGCAGCGUCUCUCACCCUUGCUGUCCACAGGGGAUGAUGCCAAGUAAGCUGAGUGCUGUGGCACCAGCACCCCGUGUCCUUCUUAGGACCGUGAGUCCUGAUGACUGAAAACGUGUGGAUUCGCAAGCUCCUUCACACACUUAGAGCCCCCACAAGGAGGUAACUGUGAGAAAGAACCUGGAGCACCUUAAGGCGCAUCUUUUAUCUGAUCAGUAUCAUUGCACCUGCAACCACUUUUAUGGUUAAUGGGAUUCCAGUGAUUCCAGCGUGAUUCCAGUGGUGCUGAAUGGAAUUGCCGUGGCAUAAAACCAAUCACGUAAGAAGAAAAGCAAAAGUAAGCUGAAUCCAUGAGGACCUUGCUACAUUACUACUUGGACAUUGAUGGAUGGAGAAGCAUUUAAAACUAAAAAAAAAUCAAUAUUGAAUCUGAAGAGGGCGCUUUUGGAUUGCACAAUCCACAGGAGAAAAGGCAGUAGGAAAAGUGCAUUGCCUUUCCUGGUUGCCUUGUGGGAAGAUUUAUUGUGAACACAACUCAUUUAUCAGCAGUGUAUUGUUUAUCACAGUCAGGAGUUGUGCGUAGUUUGGAAGUGAAAAGGACAGAAGAGCCUACAGCAUGAUGACUUUGGAGAGACACUUCUGCUACAAGGAGGUCAUUUCUGCCUGUUGUGCCUUAUACCAGGGAACACACCGGGAGGGGAACAGAAAUCAAACUGUUCUGUGGUGCUGGAAAAUCUCAAGGCUACGAGACAUACCUGGCACACGCUGUAUGGAAUCAAAAUAUCACACGGGAGAGCUGCAAGCAUUGUCCCGAAUUGCUGCUUUGAUGUUCCGUGUGUGGUGUUUAGUGUAACGCGUGGCAUUAAAAUGCAAGAUUCAAGCCAGAAGUUUGCCUCUAAAAGUAAAUCGGGCAUCCACCCAAAUGCCUGACAGGAGAUGAGCCUCGUAUUGUUUUCUAAUGUCUGAAAACCCUGGGCCCUGCCAGCCUGGCAGAAUCUGAGUCCCAAGUCAAGGGCUGCGCAGUGAAUGCCCUUUUUCUGUAAAUACGUGCUUAAAUAUCAGGCCACUGUAAUGGUGCGUCCGGCUUGAAUUAUUCUGUGCUGGUGAUAGGUGAACAAAGAAAAGAGCAUGAUCCAAGACAAAUAAAGCAAUACUUCGUAAAGCCAAGAAGUUCUUUUUCCUAACAGCGAAUUCUCUGAAACCAAUAGUGUUCCCACCAAUGUAAACUGAAUGGAGAGUCAGGCUCCCACAAAAUGUAAGCUGGAGAAUAUGGGGCUGAAUUUCCUGCAUCAUGAUGGAUGAACUAUCUCCGUGACUACUAAAAAGAAGUGAUCCAGGCCUAUUUUAUGGGCUGCACUCUGCAAAGUGCUUUCUGGCAUGGGGACACAAUACUUACCGGGACUUCUAGGUGGUUCUCCAAAAGAAACAAAUCAGUGCUACCCACCUCACUGUCCAGACUAUGGAAAAUUAAAUAUUAUAGAGAGUCAUAGAAACUAGAAAUCAGCCUAGUGCUUUAGAAAGGCCAUCCCAGGAGGCCCUGAGCUCCAGGAAUGGCAAACAUGAAACUGGAGAACGGUGCAGCCCUCCUGCCUGCAGCUGUCUGGGAUGGGACUCCCCAUUUCCCCAUCCUGCUGCUGCCGUUUAGAUGUUUAGACACUUUGUUCCAAGUUCCCGUAACGUCCCUGGCAUCCGUGUGUGCUGGCAAGCCAGAGCAGUUAGUUCUGCAAUGUCCAAAUCAACCAGCAAAUUACCGCCUGAAGUCUGCUUUCUGCGUCCCCCCCACAGCUUCUGGGAUGAGCUGCUGCUCUGGGUUCACAUACACCGCGUAGCUGCUGACUUUUACGAGAUAAAUUGCUCAGUGCUUGCACCCCAUGUCUCUGUCUUGCGCAUGCUCCCUGGCGAAGAGCAGGAAUGAGCCAUUAGAUUGAAAAUUUGAAAAUCAAAAAUGCUCCGGGGUGUAUCAUCAGCCCGAGAAAAAUCCCAUCAUUACGCCGCUCCUACAGCAUCCACCUUAUUUGUGCCUCCAACUCAAAUGUAUUAAACUUAAUUACACAGUAAUACAACUCCAAGACAGAUUUACCAUAUUGGGAUAGGAAAAGCUUUUGAAAAAGCACUCCUUC